ACAGGGAUUGCCCUAGUAACGGCGAGUGAAGCGGCAACAGCUCAAAUUUGAAAUCUGGCGUCUUUGGCGUCCGAGUUGUAAUUUGCAGAGGGCGCUUUGGCAUUGGCAGCGGUCCAAGUUCCUUGGAACAGGACGUCACAGAGGGUGAGAAUCCCGUACGUGGUCGCUAGCCUUUACCGUGUAAAGCCCCUUCGACGAGUCGAGUUGUUUGGGAAUGCAGCUCUAAAUGGGAGGUAAAUUUCUUCUAAAGCUAAAUACUGGCCAGAGACCGAUAGCGCACAAGUAGAGUGAUCGAAAGAUGAAAAGCACUUUGGAAAGAGAGUUAAAAAGCACGUGAAAUUGUUGAAAGGGAAGCGCUUGCAGCCAGACUUGCCUGUAGUUGCUCAUCCGGGUUUUUACCCGGUGCACUCUUCUACGGGCAGGCCAGCAUCAGUUUGGGCGGUUGGAUAAAGGUCUCUGUCAUGUACCUCCUCUCGGGGAGAUCUUAUAGGGGAGACGACAUGCAACCAGCCUGGACUGAGGUCCGCGCAUCUGCUAGGAUGCUGGCGUAAUGGCUGUAAGCGGCCCGUCUUGAAACACGGACCAAGGAGUCUAACAUCUAUGCGAGUGUUUGGGUGUCAAGCCCGAACGCGUAAUGAAAGUGAACGGAGGUGGGAACCUUUCGGGGUGCACCAUCGACCGAUCCUGAUGUCUUCGGAUGGAUUUGAGUAAGAGCAUAGCUGUUGGGACCCGAAAGAUGGUGAACUAUGCUUGAAUAGGGUGAAGCCAGAGGAAACUCUGGUGGAGGCUCGCAGCGGUUCUGACGUGCAAAUCGAUCGUCAAAUUUGGGCAUAGGGGCGAAAGACUAAU
rnacentral:rRNA from 1 species